AUAAAUAGACAUCUAAAAAAUGCAUUUGUGUAUUUAUGUUUGAGUAUGGAUUUGUUAUUUAUGGGAUUCAUGUCACUUCUUACAAAAUAAGGAAGCUAUGGCCUGAUGGUCUGACUCAGGAGAAGCUGGGAGUAACUGUAUCACUCCCUCCCCAGUGUCUUUCUGUUUCCAGCUCCCAUGGGGGCACAGAUGUCAUCUCAUACAUUGAAGUCACAGAUGGGCCAUCCUGGCUGUCCUUGGCUUGUGAAGGGCUUCUGUUGACUUACAGGGGUGUUGCUGUGAUGGCACGUGCUCUUCACUUCACUGUGCGUUCCACUAAACCGAUACGUCUCCUGCGAUAAGUGAAGGCGUCCUCCUCCGUGGAAUCUCUUGACGGGAACCGCAGGUUUACCAGAAAAGACGAGGAAGUGUGGCGGGACCCAGGAGAAAGAGCGGGUUGCGUAGGCAUUUCGUAAGUUGUCCCGGGUAAGGUAAGCCCCUGAUUUUUCCCACUAAGAGAACCCAAGGUGUUCCAAUCCACCUAGCUUCACCAGCUCUGCUUUCCGUCUACCUGAUUCCGUCAGCCCCCGUUAUCUUCAUUCCAUGGGCAGCUUCGAGAACGAGUCUCAGUGGUCCUCUUAUCUGUUCAUUUACAGUCAUCUUGUUGGGGUCACAGAUAAGUACCCAACUCAUUAGGCGCUGACCCCUACUGGAGUAAUCACCAUAAACCACCUCCCAGUUCAAUUGAUGUGUAAACUAUUUAAGGACAAGAUGAAAUGGACAGGAAAGAUUUUCUGGUUUAGUUUAAUUGCUUCUCAGGUGGCCUCUCAUUUACCAAGCUCCGCUACAAGUAUGAACCAGAACUACCCUAGUGAAACUAAUAUAAAAGACCCAAGUACUUCGGGGAAUACAGCUUGAUUCAACACGGCCCGGGGAACCUGCCUUUGCCAGAUUGAAAGAAGGACUUUUUCAGCCUCCUUGGUUAUGCCGGUGGUGGUCCUCCUCUCCUCCGCGCGGGCAUGACACAAAAUUGCACUCUCUUUGCAUUUGAUGAGCGGAUUAUGCUGCCCACAAAUCCCUUGAUCUUUCAACUAUAUAUAUAACGCAAAAACAGAUGGUGAUGUUAAGCACGAGUCAGGUUGUCUCUGCUGGGAUGUCGUCGCUGGGAUGCAGUUGAGGCAUCGAGGAAAAAAUGACCUAAAAAUAUUGCCACGAGCAGGAGACAAGAUUGG
rnacentral:lncRNA from 1 species